CCUACGGGGGGCAGCAGUGGGGAAUAUUGGACAAUGGGGGGAACCCUGAUCCAGCCAUGCCGCGUGUGUGAAGAAGGCCCUCGGGUUGUAAAGCACUUUCAGUGAGGAAGAACGCCUGGUGGUUAAUACCCAUCAGGAAAGACAUCACUCACAGAAGAAGCACCGGCUAACUCCGUGCCAGCAGCCGCGGUAAUACGGAGGGUGCGAGCGUUAAUCGGAAUUACUGGGCGUAAAGCGCGCGUAGGUGGCUUGAUAAGCCGGUUGUUAAAGCCCCGGGCUCAACCUGGGAACGGCAUCCGGAACUGUCAAGCUAGAGUGCAGGAGAGGAAGGUAGAAUUCCCGGUGUAGCGGUGAAAUGCGUAGAGAUCGGGAGGAAUACCAGUGGCGAAGGCGGCCUUCUGGACUGACACUGACACUGAGGUGCGAAAGCGUGGGUAGCAAACAGGAUUAGAUACCCUUGUAGUC
rnacentral:rRNA from 1 species